ensembl:lncRNA EIF1B-AS1 EIF1B antisense RNA 1
UGGCCGAUGGAGACUAUUUAGCCGCGCCCGCGGCCCCUCCCACGUGACCGUCCCGCGCCGAGCAUCCUGGGACUUGUAGUUUUCUGGAGGCAGCAGAGCCCGGAAAGCCUGAGGCCGGGGGCGGCCGAGACCGCAAUUCCCGUCACGGAGUGCGUCCUCUAGCGCGGGGCGGAAGACCCGCGAAGUGUUCAAGCGGCCGCAGAGCGGCCCAGAGUUCGCAGGUCUGGGGCUCUCUUCCCAGAGAGCUCGUAGGGGAGGACAGUCAAGGGACUCAAGCGUCUCUCUUGACUCCCCUUCUCUCGCUGUGCAGUGGCGGCGCCGAGGGGUCGACGCUCAGGGCUAAUCUCUAUGAGUCACCCUCGAGGCCCCGGGUAAUAUUGGGUGGAUCACAAGAACUAAUCUUUCAUGAUUUGGAAACCGGAAGGAAAGAAGCACUUUUGUAGCUGACUUACCUCAAUGACAUGACCAGUGUCUGAGCCUACAACUGCGCUAUCUUCCCUGGAUUUUUCUUCACCUUUUCCUUACUCAUGAGCCAGAACUGCAUGUCCAAGGAGCUAUACAUUUGCUAGAAGGGGAUGACCAAUUCAGCUCUGAGUUUCCUGGGAGCCAAAGCCAAGAGCUCCAUGUCCACAAGAUCGAAGACCAAGUACUCAGAAGAACAGCUUUUCCUGAUACUAGGAGUUAAGAGAAGCUUUCUCCAGGAACUCUCAUAGAGACAACUUGCAUGAUGCAGUGGACAGCACCCUUAGCAUGCUCCACAAGGGUCAUUCUGCAGUCUCUUUCAGCACUGGAUAACGGCACUCUGUCUCAAAAGUAGACUCUAAGACCCAUGUGGGCAGAGAGGAGAGUUCUCACCUGGAGUUCAGCAUGGUGGACUUGGGCUGCAGCCGUGGCCACCUGGUCCUCCAGAUCCGCCAGAUGGGUCUCAUCAGUGCCACUGUGGAUGCAGCGGGCGGCAUCUUCUAGCUCAGUCAGCUGGGUCUCCAGUCCAUACACAGUGCCUGCUGCCAGACAAAGCAAGAUGAAAAAGCUCCAAGCCCUCAGCAAGGCCAGAAUGUUCAUGUUUUACUCUGUGUUCACUAAAAGCCUACUUUCCUGGCACCAGGAGGCAGAAGAGAUUUAGUGGUUUAGCACUGAUACCAGCUGAACAGGAAUUUACAGCCAAAGUGAUGGUGCCUAAAGGACUGGAGGAGGAUAAUGAUGAUGAUGGUGGGGAUGAUGAUGAUGAUGAUGAUGACAGCAUUAAUUUAUUGAGCCAGUGGCUAAGCCAAGGGUUUUAUGUGACUUAUAUAUGCUCAUAGCAACCCUUGAGGUAGAGACUAUUAUAAUCACUGUGUUCAAGAUGAGAAUUUUUUUGCUCUAGGAAGGUUUAGUGACUUUCUGAGGUCUCACAGCUGGGGACUGGUGGAGCCUAGAAGUGAUCUCAGGAGGGCUGAAGCUAGUUCCCUUGCCUUUAUCCUCCUUGCCCUAUGAUGCUGUGAUAAUCUCAGUUGGAAUGUUAUAACAUUUUGCAUUUCAGAUUUUAACAUAAAGGUACUAGAGUUACUAUGGUUAUAGAUGGAUAUGAUAUUGGCUCUGUGGCUGGCUUGAAAUAACAAAAGGUAACAUGCUAUAUGAUGAAAAUGUUAUUCUAGCUUUAUAAAACAUAACCCAUUUGAAAAAUAUUCACUUGGACUUGCUUGGCAAGUUAAGGUCCACUUUUGGUGAGAACUGUGGUUACCAUGUCUGAGUAAUCUAUGACCCCUUCAAACUCUAGUCAUUGAUGCCUGUGAUUGCAUUCACUGGCUCUUGGUUCAACAAGGCUUUCUCAGAGUGGUUCAAGGCAUAAGAAUAGGUGUUUCCUUAAUGAAACACCUAUUUGUGAUUAAAUUCUCUAGAAUAAAGAGUGUUAAACAGAUUUCUUUACUGCAGGUCUUCACAGAGGCUUUAAUGUACUAAUAUGUAUCUCAAUUUUCCUAGAAAGAGUGUGCAAGCUUCCCAGACUUAUUUGACCUUAGAGCAUCUUGUUGGAUGUGGCUUCCAUGAAUUAUACUUUAGGGGACUAAUGUAUUUCUUUCCUUGCUCUCUGAGGGCACAGAACCACCUGAGUAACCAUGGUUGUCUCCACAAGUUCUAGUGCUACAUCCUCUUUAGUGCUGUAAGGGUUGUAGGAGAACUUUAAGAAAGAGGACCAACAUCCUCUGCAUGGAUCUGGAUUCAGUGGCAGAGCUGGGCUCCCUGUAGUGCAGGUCUACUGUGUCUGCUGCCACUGGUUGUAUACUCCAUGGGCAAUGUGGGGUGGAGCUAAAAGGGAAGUUGGGUUUGCUCUCCAUUCCCUCUGAGGCUGGGGAUUAUGGGUUACUUACAACCCUGCAUACAUCCUCAAGGUGGCAGUCCUACUAUUCACACCACAGGUCUGAGAAUGCUAUGCUAGUCCUUCUCUGUUGACCUUCUAGGGCCAUUUUCUAUCCUUCUUUGUCCUGCCCUGUUCCCUGGGAGGCCGACCAAUUUGGACUUCAUCACCAGGGCUUCCUGGCUGUCUGGGAUGGGUUUGACCAGUGGAGAUACCACUGUCUAGGGCUGGUAACAGCUUCCUUUUAUUGCUACUGUUCCACCCUCAGCAUCCCUUAACCUUGCCCACACCUGAGUUAACAGCCCCUUUCAUGAAACUCUCCUCUUCCAGCCAGACCCCAAUAGGUACAGUGGAGCUCUUCACAGCAAGAAUUUAAAAUACCUACAGACCAAGGCAUUCAGCCCAAGGAACUGAGCCCCCAUUGCGUGCUGCUGUGGAGGGUGGGAUUAGUCCUAGGUUGUUUCUGCCUUUAGGGGAGACAAGAGCUGAUUUCACAGCACUAAUGCCAGAUAGCAGGUGAGGAGUGUCAAAGCUGAGAGACAAGAUAAUUCUCAAAUACCCAUGCCCUCUUUUUUAAGCCCAUCGGAAAAGCGCAGUAUUCGGGUGGGAGUGACCCGAUUUUCCAGGUGCCGUCUGUCACCACUUUCUUUGACUAGGAAAGGGAACUCCCUGACCCCUUGCGCUUCCCGAGUGAGGCAAUGCCUCGCCCUGCUUCAGCUCGUGCACAGUGUGCGCACCCACUGACCUGCGCCCACUGUCUGGCACUCCCUAGUGAGAUGAACCCGGUACCUCAGACGGAAAUGCAGAAAUCACCCGUCUUCUGCAUCGCUCACGCUGGGAGCUGUAGACCCAAGGCUACAGUAACCAAAACAGCAUGGUACUGGUACCAAAACAGAGAUAUAGAUCAAUGGAACACAACAGAGCCCUCAGAAAUAAUGCCGCAUAUCUACAACUAUCUGAUCUUUGACAAACCUGAGAAAAACAAGCAAUGGGGAAAGGAUUCCUUAUUUAAUAAAUGGUGCUGGGAAAACUGGCUAGCCAUAUGUAGAAAGCUGAAACUGGAUCCCUUCCUUACACCUUAUACAAAAAUCAAUUCAAGAUGGAUUAAAGACUUAAACGUUAGACCUAAAACCAUAAAAACCCUAGAAGAAAACCUAGGCAUUACCAUUCAGGACAUAGGCAUGGGCAAGGACUUCAUGUCUAAAACACCAAAAGCAAUGGCAACAAAAGCCAAAAUUGACAAAUGGGAUCUAAUUAAACUAAAGAGCUUCUGCACAGCAAAAGAAACUACCAUCAGAGUGAACAGGCAACCUACAAAAUGGGAGAAAAUUUUCGCAACCUACUCAUCUGACAAAGGGCUAAUAUCCAGAAUCUACAAUGAACUCAAACAAAUUUACAAGAAAAAAACAAACAACCCCAUCAAAAAGUGGGCAAAGGACAUGAACAGACACUUCUCAAAAGAAGACAUUUAUGCAGCCAAAAACACAUGAAAAAAUGCUCAUCAUCACUGGCCAUCAGAGAAAUGCAAAUCAAAACCACAAUGAGAUACCAUCUCACACCAGUUAGAAUGGCAAUCAUUAAAAAGUCAGGAAACAACA